rnacentral:misc_RNA from 1 species
AGAGUCAAGGCCCCUCACGGGGCCGAACCUCCAACCCUCUGUCGUCCGGACCAAGUUGCUUCGGCGGAAGAGAGCCGCCCGGACCUUCACCGGCCGGGGCGGGCUCCGCCGUCGGAGGCCAGACCAACUCUUGCGUGAACAUUUGCGUCCGAGUAAACACACAACCAAACAAAAACUUUCAACAACGGAUCUCUUGGUUCU